GAUGAACGCUAGCGAUAGGCUUAACACAUGCAAGUCGAGGGGCAGCAUGGUCUUAGCUUGCUAAGACUGAUGGCGACCGGCGCACGGGUGCGUAACGCGUAUGCAACUUGCCUCACAGAGGGGGAUAACCCGUCGAAAGACGGACUAAUACCGCGUACACUCCAUCUUGGGCAUCCAAGGUAGAGGAAAUGAAAUUCGCUGUGAGAUAGGCAUGCGUCCCAUUAGCUAGUUGGUGAGGUAACGGCUCACCAAGGCGACGAUGGGUAGGGGAACUGAGAGGUUGACCCCCCGCACUGGUACUGAGACACGGACCAGACCGCUACGGGAGGCAGCGGUAGGGAAUAUGGGUGAAGGGGCGAGGGCCUGAACCCGCCAAGUCGGGUGAAGGAGGACUGUCUUAUGGAUUGUAAACUUCUUUUAAACGGGAAUAACAAGAGUCACGGGUGACUGCCUGCAUGUACCGAAUGAAUAAGCAUCGGCUAACUCCGUG
rnacentral:rRNA from 1 species